GACGAACGCUGGCGGCGUGCCUAAUACAUGCAAGUCGAACGCAGUGGGGACGGGUGAGUAACACGUGGGUAACCUACCAUCAGAGGGGAUAACACUUGGAAACAGGUGCUAAACCGAUCCUGAUGGAUGGACCCGCGGUGCAUUAGCUAGUUGGUGAGGUAACGGCCCACCAAGGCCACGAUGCAUAGCCGACCUGGGAGGGUGUACGGCAGCACUGGGACUGGGACACGGCCCAGACUCCUAGGGGAGGCCGCAGUAGUGGAUCUUCGGCAAUGGACGAAAGUCUGACCGGGCAACGCCGCGAGAGUGAAAAAGGUUUUCGGAUCGUAAAGCUGUGUUGUUAGAGAAGCGGUAUCUAACCGGAAAUCCACGGCUAACUACGUGCGAGCAGCCGCGGUAAUUC
rnacentral:rRNA from 1 species